GGGAGUGUAGCUCAGUGGUAGAGUGCUUGCAUCGAAUGUGUGAGACCCUGGGUUCGAUUCCCAGCAUGCUUU
rnacentral:tRNA from 1 species